AUGGUCAUGCCAUGCCAGUGAAGGUCAUUGAUCAAUAUUUGCAUGCCACCCCUUUCAGUCUCUCAAAAGAAAAAUGGAAGUGUUGGUGUAUCUGUUUUGUACCAUCAAGCAGUACUACACUGCAUUAGCUAUACCCGAUCAGAAGUUAAAAAUGAAAGAAAGAAAGAGCACAUCGAGGAAGGAAAAGCAAAUAAUCCUGGUUUUUGAGAGGGGCCCCAAAGUGCCUAAAGUCCUAAACUAGGGUCUGGAAAUAGUACUGUCAUAUAUAUGGUUUAAUAUCUGUAUUUUGUUGUCAGUACUUGUAACUUUUUUAUCUGUAUUUUUAUUGUCACCUUAAGAAUUACAUGUAACUUUUUAAUUUGUUGUUCUUCCCAUUCCCAUAUUUUUUGUUAUUCUAAAAAUUUAAAUGUAAUUUUUUAAUUUACAUGUAUUUUUAUUGUCACCCUAAUAAUUUACAUGCAACUUCUUAA